rnacentral:rRNA from 1 species
AUUGAACGCUGGCGGCAGGCCUAACACAUGCAAGUCGAACGGUAACAGGAAGCAGCUUGCUGCUUCGCUGACGAGUGGCGGACGGGUGAGUAAUGUCUGGGAAGCUGCCUGAUGGAGGGGGAUAACUACUGGAAACGGUAGCUAAUACCGCAUAAUGUCGCAAGACCAAAGAGGGGGACCUUCGGGCCUCUUGCCAUCGGAUGUGCCCAGAUGGGAUUAGCUUGUUGGUGGGGUAACGGCUCACCAAGGCGACGAUCCCUAGCUGGUCUGAGAGGAUGACCAGCCACACUGGAACUGAGACACGGUCCAGACUCCUACGGGAGGCAGCUGUGGGGAAUAUUGCACAAUGGGCGCAAGCCUGAUGCAGCCAUGCCGCGUGUAUGAAGAAGGCCUUCGGGUUGUAAAGUACUUUCAGCGGGGAGGAAGGGAGUAAAGUUAAUACCUUUGCUCAUUGACGUUACCCGCAGAAGAAGCACCGGCUAACUCCGUG